rnacentral:lncRNA from 1 species
ACUGGAAUACGGUUAAAAGUGUCGUUAACCCCAACUCACUCACUCACUCACUUUCAAUAAAGUCAGUCUCAUUAGAAAAUGAUCCUGGUAUGCAUUAAAAAAUAACAAUAAAAAUUCUAAACAUCUCUAAGUAGCAAAAGGUACCAUUUGACAACCUGGUCUUUGUUUGUGUAAAUGUGGCCUAGUUGAUUUUAUUGCUAUUUUGUAAAUAUUUAAGUAAAGUCUCUUCAUUUUCUUGUUUCUGUUGUAGCCCGUUUCUGUCUCAAGCUAUAGAUUACUUGAGCAGUAUAAAAACAACAACAAUUAGACCAGCUCCAGUACUUACAUAACUACUAACAUAACAAUAGCCACUUUCACCUUUACAGCCACCAACAGCACAAGCGUCUUGCUUUGUUUUCCUUCCCAGCUUCUGUAUUAUGUAAGUAAAAGGUUUCUUCUGUUUUGGGCUGACUUUGCUAAAUUAGUUGGUCACUAACACUUGAAGGAAAUCAGUGGUUCUGUGGAUUGCAUUCAAAUCAGUGGAUGAUAUAUUUGUUGUGUUCAGGAUCUCUAUAAGGUUAGUUUGUGUUUGGUUCAUAUUUAUGUAUCUUGUAGAUAUGUCUGUGUAUUUAGUUUUAUGAAUUAGAUGCAUUAAGGUAAUGCAUUGAUUGGUAAUUAUACAUAUUAUAUAUAUAUAUCUAUAUCUGUCAAACUGAAAAUAGUUUAAACAUAAACUAGUACUUCAUAAUAAGUAUACAUGUUAUCUCGAUAUCUUCAGAUAUUCUAUACCUUCCCUCUUAAUUUGUUAAACACUUUAGUUAAACCUAAACUAAAUCUAUAAUCAAAUUUAACUAUUAAUCACUACUUAAAUACCAUCUAACUACAUGUGUGAAUGCAGUAUGUAUGUAUGUAGAUUAUGAUUGAAUGGAUACAUAUGAAAAGGUAAUUUUACAUGUUCUUAAUUUUAUUGGCCAUUUCCUAUUUCUUAUGCGGCCUUAUUGUUUUAAUUUUUCUAGAAUAUGGCAAUCGAUGUUACCAUGCCCGUGAUCUGCCAAUGCUAACAUAGUUGCCAGCUCAUUGCCACACAGUGAGUUCAGAAACAACAAGCGUAUGUGCAAAUAUAGUCAGCUGUCAACUCACACCCCAGUAGCCUGUUCUGUGUUUGCUGCCCUAACCGGAGCCUUCCCGCUACUACAUAACGUGUUAUGAAAGAAUACCUUAUAGUUUUAGAGAUAUGGUUCAGACGAACACACCACUAUGAAAAGAGUCAAAGUCAAACUUGUUGCCAUGGAAACAAGAUUUUUUUUAAACUCCUUGAUAGCAAAAGGCACAACUUCAGCCCUUGAUUAAUACGUGUAGGAUCAAAACCGCGUCCGAGGCCGAAAGGCCCGACCCCCUUUCCCGAGGCCAAGGGCAAGGGCAUACUUCCCAAACAAAACCGAGGGCAAGUUUUUGAUCUCACUUAUGAACUGAUCAAAUAAUAUGAUUUAGAAAUAAUUUUACUGAUUGGUAUUAACAUGACUUCAUUGAUAUUUACUGUUGAGAGUUUAACUGCAAUACGCGGGGAGUACAUCCGCGCGCAUCACGUGCUUCAGGCCCGUUGUAACAAUGAGCGCAUGUGGUUCAAGCAAAUCGAAUGAAUUCCACUGAAGAGGAUGGACGCAGACAACAACGAUAUAUUUCUGACGCAGUCAGUUUUUAAAGAAUCGGCAUCCUGUGCUGAAGAAGACAAAGAAAGUGAUGACUUUAAAUUCCGUUUAGGAGAUCCACUCUCCGAGCGUGAAAUAGCCUUACAAGUGCAAGACGUCCGGUAUUGAGGGCAUGAAGACAAACCAUUCCUUGAGAGCCACGGCAGCCACUCGACUGUAUCAAGGUGACGUUGAUGAACAAAUGAUUUGCGAAAAUACCGGACAUCGGAGCGACGCCGUAUGUUGAAAAAAAUAACUCGCCAUCACGUGAAGAAGCUAAUCCGAAAAGAGCAGAUGACCAAUGACCUGAAGACAAACAAAAUCGAACUGUGACGCUCAAUUUCAAUUUCAUCUAAUAUCAAUAAAUAGUUGAGCCAU